GGGCGUGUGGCUCAGUUGGUAGAGCGUUCGCUUAGCAUUCAUGCUUUGACUGCGAAAGGUCCUGGGUUCGAUUCCCAGCCCGUCCA